ACUAAUUAGGGGUCUACUUGAGUCAUUCAGAUGAGAGUUACUAAAGGACUGACACUGGCAUUACCAGUGUCUCCAAAAACAGAGAGAUAAAUAGCAAUAAGAAUCAAAACAUGAAAACAUGACAACUGACUGAAUAGAACGAGAGGUGAGGGUUGCUGCCUGGCAGUGCCUACACAUUUGGAAAGGAGCCACAUCAUGCUGUUUGCUUUUGAUCCUCCGGGAAUGAUUCGACGCACUGCUGAGGCAAAAGGUGCCCGGGCAGAUCGGCAGCUGCCAAUCUCCUCUUCACAAAAUAUUGGGCCUGCAGCUCCUCAGAAGCACUGUACAAUUCUUAGUGAAAGGUUGACUUGGUAAUCAUAUGACGGAUCUCUCAGGCACAUAAGGCGCUCGUUUUCUCCUGUGCAACAGCUGUAAACAAAGGACUGCAUGUUCAAGAGAAGAAAACAAAAAUGGAAGAGUCAAAACACAUUAAACAAGCUUAAUUUGUUUGAGCAUAUUUUAUGCUCCUCAUCAUCCCCGGUGGUUUCCUGUUGUGAAAUGAUGCAUUUUGUUUUCAAAAUUACAAACUUGUGAUUAAAAAUAAGGCAUUUUUACUGUGAGGUCACAUUCCAGGCAUAUUAUCAUAUGUCUCCUUCUUAUGUGUGGCUUUCACCAGAAGAAAGACCCACUUUGUGUGCCUUUUUAUUUUAGGACCAUGUGAUGGCAGAGCCAUCUUGAAAUUCUUUUCAAAGAAUUUGCUACUUGCCAAAAUUCUGUGAAAUA